UACGUAGGGGGCUAGCGUUAUCCGGAAUUACUGGGCGUAAAGGGUGCGUAGGUGGUUUCUUAAGUCAGAGGUGAAAGGCUACGGCUCAACCGUAGUAAGCCUUUGAAACUGGGAAACUUGAGUGCAGGAGAGGAGAGUGGAAUUCCUAGUGUAGCGGUGAAAUGCGUAGAUAUUAGGAGGAACACCAGUUGCGAAGGCGGCUCCCUGGACUGUAACUGACACUGAGGCACGAAAGCGUGGGGAGCAAACAGG
rnacentral:rRNA from 1 species